GACUUCCACUUAUAAUCAUUGGUGCAGGACGGGGGCCCUGGCAAAUGCCUAGUCGUUUGGGUGGGACGAAAAACUGAGGCCCCGUAUCCACGUAAAAUGAAAACUUAACAGUUGGAAUUGGCCUAACCUAACCCUUUACCUAGCCCCAAUGCUUACACUAACCUACAAUCUCGUCAACAAUCACGUGCCCUAACCUAAUUUACAUCUCAGCGACCUUGACAAAAAUUGAGCUAGCCUUAACAAAUAGGUUUAGCCAUUUAAUUGCCCGGUCACGGGGGUUUUACUCAAUUCAUGAAUAAUAUCGUGCAGAUUGUUUAAACGUUAUAAAACCCUUGAUUCUAUGAACUAACCUUUAUUCAUUUUUCUGAAACAGAUAAUAAUGUUAUAGAUAUUGAUUUAUCGAUUUGGGUUUUACCGUCACUUUAGUACUGCGUAGCUAAGAUACCGAGUUUGUACCAGCAAGCCGGUGUCAAUGUACGAUCCAAUCAGAAAACUGCGUCUGUCCGAUGGCCUAAUUUUUUCUCUCGACGAUAUAUAAGAGGUCGAUUCACGGGCACGUUUACUACAGUCUAAUCUAGCUAGCUAGUAUAACAAUAUAUUGCUUCAGUUAAUAUUCGACAAAGAUGGAGUCUUUAAAAAAAACUGCGAACCAGGCUGGUGAGAAGGUGGAAGAACUAGUAGAAACUGUCAAAGAUAAAACUGGUUUGGGGAAAUCAGAUUCUGAAGUUGCAAAAGACAAAGCUUCAGAAACCGUUGAAUCGGCAAAAGAUGCAGCUUCUGCUGCAGGUCAAGUAGUCAAAAACAAAACUGAAGAUGCCAAGGACAAACUGUAGAACCACAAUCAGACAAUAUGUGUACAAAGAAGCAUCAUGUUUUUGUGACAAUUGUUUAUAGAAGGGGGGGGUGUGUGUGGACAAAUAUCUUCACUUUACAAACUGUCUUUAUGGUAACAGAAAGAUCACCUAAUAAUUUGUAAAAUUAUAAAAUCUGAAAAUAAUUUCCACAAGCAGGUCUGUACAUCUAUCAGGACUGAUUUAUUAAUUUAAAUGGUCUUACACAGAGUACGGGCAACUUCAUUUAAUUUGAAUGUAUAUUUUGAAUCUAACACUAACAGUCUAAUUGAUAAGAAAUGAUGCUCUAAAAUACCAAACAUGCUGACUUUGCAAGAUCUACAACUGUAUUUGUUCACAUACUCUGUCAUAUAACUGUAGACAUAGUGUUGAGUGUUUUUACUUUUGUGCAUAAAAAGUUAAAGAAGUUUUUUUUUUCAAUUCUACCUCUGUUCUUAUACUAAAAAUAUUGCAAAAGUCACUGAAGAGGAUCGACUUGCAGAAACGAUUUCAAUGACAUUAAAAUCCAAAUAGAAUUGUUUCACAUUUAACACAAAAUGAAGAAAAUAAGUAUUUCUUCUUGUUGCAUUGAUAUACAAAUCUAUAUUCGAUGUAAUUAUCAUUAGAUACUUUUCAAGGAUCAAUGCAAAAUCAGAUGUUUUUCCUAAACUCGAAAAUAAUUUCUUUAACAAUCUCUGUAAUUUUGAUUUGUAAUUUAGAUGGUAUUGCUAGAUAGUCUAAAUAUUUACUCGAUUUGCAGAAGUAUUUCUUCAUGAUGCAUUGAUACAUGAAUCUACAUUAGAUCGUAUUAUCAUUAUAAAUUGUUUAGAUGUUGUUAUAGAUCAUUAUUUUGAUUUGUGAUUCAUACACCUAGAUAUUAUUUAUUAUGGGUCUAAAUAUUUACCUCAUUCUAUCAGUACCGGUAUGUACACUAUGCUCAAAAUGUUUGAAACUUUAGAAUUAUUUGUUUUAUUAGUAUCUUGGAUGUAUGAGAUAGCUGUUGUAUUAUAAGAACUAUGUAUAAGUUAACUGCAUAUAUUAUAAGAACUAUAUACAUGUAUGAGUUAACUUUAGUAUUAUAUGAAUUGUGGAUGAGUUCACUAAGGUAUUAUAAAUAAAUAUAUAGUAUUAAAAUG